UACGGGGGGGGGCAAGCGUUGUUCGGAAUUACUGGGCGUAAAGGGCGCGUAGGCGGCCUUCUAAGUCAGACGUGAAAUCCCUCGGCUUAACCGGGGAACUGCGUCUGAUACUGGAGGGCUUGAAUUCGGGAGAGGGAUGUGGAAUUCCAGGUGUAGCGGUGAAAUGCGUAGAUAUCUGGAGGAACACCGGUGGCGAAGGCGGCAUCCUGGACCGAGAUUGACGCUGAGGCGCGAAAGCUAGGGGAGCAAACGGGG
rnacentral:rRNA from 1 species